rnacentral:lncRNA from 1 species
CUGUAAUCGAUUACACGGGCACAUAAGUCACAAAGUCCCUCUUCCUCACACAAGCACUUGGAUGAAAUACCCUAACAAACCCCUAAGCAGUUGUUGGUCCUCCAAAACAACCAUUAAUCUCAAAUUCAUAACUUAAAUUCUAACCAAGUCAGUACCCACCACACACUAGGGAGCCCCCUCUACCAGAGGCAGGGAGUGGCGUUGGACUUUUGGUACAGAGGUACUGGUAAGGCUGUAAUCGCUUACAUAGGCACAUAAGUCACAAAGUCUCUCUUCCUCACACAUGCACUUGGAUAAAAAACCA